CCGAAGUACAGGCCCUUUUAUAGGGCUAAACUUCCACCCUUUGUUUACUAUUCUUUGUUGCUUUGGCGGGACGUCUUCGGACCACCGGCUCUCGGGCUGGUGAGCGCUCGCCAGAGGAAAAUCAAACCCAAACCUUUUUUAGUGUUGUCUGAGAAACAAGUUUAAUUAUUA
rnacentral:misc_RNA from 1 species